ACCCGCAAACAAUCCUCCCAGCUGGCAGCCCCUCUCGUCCCUAGCGGCGGCGUCCGCUACUACUAUUGUCGCCUCCGCUCCACUCCGCUGCGGCUGCUCCUCCUCAUCGACAUCUGCUCCUUCGAUUCAUAUGCUUCAGCUCCCUUGGGUACAAAACGAAGCCGCAACACAAGGGCGGCGCGGCGGCGGUGACGCGGUGGCGGCCGCAGCACAAGAACAGGUCGCGGCCGUCCCCCCUGGUCGUUGCUCCCUCUGCGCAGGCUACGCCGUGCAGGUCGUCUCCGCCCCUCCUCACAAGCACUCCGCCCCUCCUCACUAGAAUAUGAGGAAUCUAGAUCAGGCGCGUACUCUUCUUCCCCCCAAGUUUAGGCACUGUCGGUAGUGAUUGGUGAAUCUUCUCUGGCCUUCGUCUUCAGAGCACUUGUUGUUUUGAGCUAGCAUGUGCUCUCACCACCUGUCUUUGUGCAGAAUGGAUGGAUAUACAUAGCCUGGAGCCACUAGAUAUUAGAAAUCGAUUGUUUCAGAUAUGGCCAGGCUGCUAUAUCCAGGCAAGAGAGCCACGGUCAUUGAUAGGCCUGAGAAUAUCCUGCCUUCAUUCUUGCUUGAUUAAAUCUCUAGGUGUAUUGUACCGUGCCAAUGCUAUAUAAUUGUGUGGAAGCAACUGACAAUGCUAUUGAAGCUUUGGACUCAGUGCAGUAUACAUAGCCUUGAGUGCUUAGUGCAGUAUAGGACAGCUUUUGAAGCUUUGUACUCACAAGAUCUCAGUUAUGUGGACAUACCUUCUGCUGAUGAAUGGAAAAUGGCAGAUCUUCUCUGCAAAAUAUUCAAGCCUUUCUAUGAUGAUUUCAGGUUCAUUGUUCCCGACCACCCACCCAUAUUAUCAUGUUCUCUGGACAGUAAAAGAAAAAAUAGAAAAGGAGGCUUCAAAUGAAGAUCAUUGUAUUGCAGCAAUGACAGUUAAAAUGAAAGAGAAGUUUCUGAAGUAUUGGGAUUUAUCCUUGCUACAGAUCUAUGUGCAUGUUGUUCUAGAUCCUAGAUUCAAGUUCAAUUUCAUAGCCUUUCGCUUGGAGGCACGAUUUGGCAACAAAGAUCCCACAUACACUGCAAAAGUGAAGUCAGCAUUGGAGGAUUUAUUUUCUGCAUAUUCAUCACAAGCACCUGAUUCAAACAACAACUAUCAGCCACAAUCCAAUGAUGAGAUCAUCCAUGAAGAUGACCCCUAGGCAGACUGGGAACAACACCUUACAGCACAGAAAAAGAACACAGUGAAAAAUGAGCUUCAAGUAUAUUUGCAAGAUGAUCUUUUCCUCGGCAAAAGGAUUUGGACAUUCUACAAUGGUGGAUGAUGCACUCUAUUUGUAGCACCUGCAUCGACAGUAGCUUCCGAGUCUGCAUUCUCUACUAGUGGGAGAGUUAUUGGCGACUAUAGAAGCCGGUUGACAAGAAAGAAUGUAGAAGCAUUAAUUUGCCUCCAGGACUGGUUGAGAGUAGAAGGCCAUGGCAACUUCAAAAUUGCAGAAGGUGAUAUUAGUGAUGGUGAGGAUCGGUUAGAAUAAAAACUAACAGGUAUAUAAUGAAUACUAUAUACUGAAUUCUGUGCUCAGUUCUUUGAAUGUUUACUCAGUUGUUCAACAUGAAAGUGAAAGACUGAGGUGCUGCUAUUGAGUAGGCUGGUGUAGAGCACUUCUGUUGUUUCCCUUUGACCUUAUUAACAAGUAUUUUCUUCUUGAAUUA